CAAGCGGGGAAUAGCCCAGAGAAAUUUGGAUUAAUACCCCAUAAAUGUGGAUUGGCAUCAAUCAGCAUUUAAAGAUUUAUCACUUGAAGAUGGGCGUGCGUGAUUAGGUAGUUGGUGAGGUAACGGCUCACCAAGCCGACGAUCAGUAACUGGCGUGAGCGCGACCAGUCACACGGGCACUGAGACACGGGCCCGACUCCUACGGGAGGCAGCAGUAGAAUAUUGGUCGAAUGGACGGAAGACUGAACCAGCCAUGCCGCGUGGAGGAUGAAGGCUCUGGGUUGUAAACUUCUUUUAUUUGGGACGAAACACUUCUUUUCUAAGGAGCUUGACUACCAGAUGAAUAAGCACCGGCUAACUCCGUGCCAGCAGCCGCGGUAAUACGGAGGGUAAGCGUUAUCCGGAUUCACUGGGUUUAAAGGGUGCGUAGGCGGACAUGUAAGUCCGUGGAAAUCUCCGAGCUUAACUCGGAAACUGCCAUGGAUACUAUAUGUCUUGAAUGUUGUGGGUUAGCGGAAUAUGUCAUGUAGCGGUGAAAUGCAUAGAUAUGACAUAGAACACCAAUCGAAGGCAGCUGGCUACACAAAUAUUGACGCUGAGGCACGAAAGCGUGGGGAUCAAACGAUUAGAUACCCUGGUAGUCCACGCCCUAAACGAGUGAUUACUCGACAUACGCGAUAC
rnacentral:rRNA from 1 species